rnacentral:rRNA from 1 species
GACGAACGCUGGCGGCACGCUUCAAGCAUGCAAGUCGAGCGACGCAUACCGGAGGGGUAACCCACUGGUAUGACGGAGCGGCGAACGGGUGCGUAACACGUGAGCAACCUGCCCCAAAGAUCGGGAUAGCCCGGGGAAACCCGGAUUAAUACCGAAUACCCUCACCGGACCGCAUGGUCUGGUGCGGAAAGCUCAGGCGCUUUGGGAUGGGCUCGCGCUCUAUCAGCUUGUUGGUGAGGUAACGGCUCACCAAGGCAACGACGGAUAGCUGGUCUGAGAGGACGAUCAGCCACACUGGGACUGAGAUACGGCCCAGACUCCUACGGGAGGCAGCAGCUAGGAAUAUUGCGCAAUGGACGAAAGUCUGACGCAGCGAUGCCGCGUGAGGGAAGACGGCCUUCGGGUUGUAAACCUCUUUCAGGAGGGACGAAAUUGACGGUACCUCCAGAAGAAGCCCCGGCCAACUACG